rnacentral:miRNA from 1 species
GUGCGGAACGCUGGCCGGGGCG